CAGCCGCCACGGGAACACGAAGGGGGCUAGCGUUGCUCGGAAUGACUGGGCGUAAAGGGCGCGUAGGCGGCGAUCAAAGUCAGGCGUGAAAUUCCUGGGCUCAACCUGGGGGCUGCGCUUGAUACUUGGUUGCUUGAGUGGGGAAGAGGGUCGUGGAAUUCCCAGUGUAGAGGUGAAAUUCGUAGAUAUUCGGAAGAACACCAGUGGCGAAGGCGGCUCACUGGACGACUGUUGACGCUGAGGUGCGAAAGCGUGGGGAGCAAACAGGAUUAGAUACCCCGGUAGUCCCUGUCUCUUAUAC
rnacentral:rRNA from 1 species